rnacentral:rRNA from 1 species
UUAAUUGAGAGUUUGAUCCUGGCUCAGGACGAACGCUGGCGGCGUGCUUAACACAUGCAAGUCGAGCGAUGAAGUUCCUUCGGGAACGGAUUAGCGGCGGACGGGUGAGUAACACGUGGGUAACCUGCCUCAUAGAGGGGAAUAGCCUUUC